GACGAACGCUGGCGGCGUGCCUAAUACAUGCAAGUAGAACGCUGAAGAGAGGAGCUUGCUCUUCUUGGAUGAGUUGCGAACGGGUGAGUAACGCGUAGGUAACCUGCCUUGUAGCGGGGGAUAACUAUUGGAAACGAUAGCUAAUACCGCAUAACAAUGGAUGACACAUGUCAUUUAUUUGAAAGGGGCAAUUGUUCCACUACAAGAUGGACCUGCGUUGUAUUAGCUAGUAGGUGAGGUAAUGGCUCACCUAGGCGACGACACAUAGCCGACCUGAGAGGGUGAUCGGCCACACUGGGACUGAGACACGGCCCAGACUCCUACGGGAGGCAGCAGUAGGGAAUCUUCGGCAAUGGGGGCAACCCUGACCGAGCAACGCCGCGUGAGUGAAGAAGGUUUUCGGAUCGUAAAGCUCUGUUGUAAGUCAAGAACGGGUGUGAGAGUGGAAAGUUCACACUGUGACGGUAGCUUACCAGAAAGGGACGGCUAACUACGUG
rnacentral:rRNA from 1 species